rfam:Myroides odoratus DSM 2801 chromosome, whole genome shotgun sequence.
UAUGCAGAUCGCCUUAUCGCUGGUUUAGUAAUAAACGAGAGGAAAGUCUGGACACCAUAGAGCGGUAUAGUGGGUAACACCCAUCCGCGGAGCAAUCCGUGAGGACAAGUGCAACAGAAAGGAUGUACAGGUAAUGCUGUAGUGAAAUCAGGUAAACUCUAUACGGUGAAAUGCCAUGUAUAUUUAGCGUUCGAGGGCUGCUCGCCCGAUGCUUUAGGGGUAGGCAGAUGGAGCCAUUGAGUAAUUGAUGGCCUGGAUAAAUGAUAAGGGUGCAUUUCGGUGCAUACAGAAUCCGGCUUAUAGAUCUGCAUUUAUU